UGCGACGCGGCUGCGAGGCGCUGAGGGGAGAGGCGCCACCGCCAGCGCCGCCGGGGAGACCCGUUAGAGCGGAAGCGCCUCCGCUGCAGCCUUCGCUGUCCCGCGGACCCUGAUUCCUGGCAGGUGGGAGGCGGGAGCCAUGUCGAAGCGGCUUCGGAGCAGCGAGGUGUGCGCUGAUUGCAGCGGGCCGGAUCCUUCCUGGGCAUCAGUAAAUAGGGGAACUUUUAUAUGUGACGAGUGCUGCAGUGUCCAUCGGAGCCUAGGGCGCCACAUCUCACAAGUAAGGCAUCUUAAACACACACCGUGGCCUCCCACGUUGCUGCAGAUGGUUGAAACCUUGUAUAAUAAUGGUGCUAAUUCUAUAUGGGAGCAUUCUUUGCUGGACCCUGCCUCUAUUAUGAGCGGAAGACGUAAAGCUAAUCCACAGGAUAAAGUACACCCUAAUAAAGCGGAAUUCAUCAGAGCCAAGUAUCAGAUGUUAGCAUUCGUACAUCGCUUGCCUUGCCGGGAUGAUGACAGCGUGACUGCCAAAGACCUUAGCAAGCAACUCCACUCAAGUGUGAGAACGGGGAAUCUCGAAACCUGUUUGAGGCUGUUAUCUUUAGGAGCACAAGCCAACUUCUUUCACCCUGAAAAAGGAAACACCCCACUCCACGUCGCCUCCAAAGCAGGGCAGAUUUUACAGGCGGAAUUAUUGGCAGUAUAUGGAGCAGACCCAGGCACACAGGAUUCUAGUGGAAAAACUCCUGUGGAUUAUGCGAGGCAAGGAGGGCACCAUGAGCUGGCAGAACGCCUUGUAGAAAUACAAUAUGAGCUGACUGACAGACUAGCCUUCUAUCUCUGUGGCAGGAGACCAGAUCACAAAAAUGGACAGCACUUUAUAAUACCUCAAAUGGCAGACAGCAGCCUGGAUUUGUCUGAAUUGGCAAAAGCUGCUAAGAAGAAACUUCAAUCCCUAAGUAAUCAUUUGUUUGAAGAACUUGCCAUGGAUGUGUACGAUGAAGUUGACAGGCGAGAGACCGAUGCAGUCUGGCUUGCCACGCAAAACCACAGCACCCUGGUAACCGAGACAACUGUCGUCCCCUUCCUUCCGGUCAAUCCCGAGUACUCUUCAACACGGAACCAGGGCAGACAGAAACUUGCUCGGUUUAACGCCCAUGAGUUUGCCACACUGGUCAUCGACAUUCUCAGUGACGCCAAGAGGAGACAGCAAGGCAGUCCUCUUUCUGGUUCAAAAGACAAUGUGGAGCUUAUACUGAAAACAAUCAGUAACCAGCACAGUGUUGAGAGUCAAGACAAUGACCAGCCAGACUAUGACAGUGUGGCCUCAGAUGAAGACACAGAUCUGGAAGCUACUGCAAGCAAAGCAAACAGGCAGAAGAGCCUAGAUUCAGAUUUAUCAGAUGGACCAGUCACUGUGCAGGAAUUUAUGGAGGUCAAAAACGCUCUAGUGGCUUCUGAGGCCAAGAUACAACAGCUAAUGAAGGUGAAUAACAACUUGAGUGACGAGCUGAGAAUUAUGCAGAAAAAGCUUCAAACACUCCAGAGUGAAAAUUCGAACCUCAGGAAACAGGCCACAACCAAUAUUUAUCAGGUGCAAACUGGUUCUGAGUACACAGACACUUCGAACCACUCUUCCUUAAAGCGACGUCCGUCUGCCCGGGGCAGUAGGCCCAUGUCCAUGUACGAGACGGGAUCAGGUCAGAAACCAUAUCUCCCAAUGGGAGAAGUGAACCACCCCGAAGAGAGCAGGACGAGACUCCAGCCUUUCCCCGCGCACAUUUUUCCACUGGAGCAGCUCUGGAUGAAUUUUCUAGAAUAAUUAUUUAAAUGCAAGUUUUUUACAUUUCAUUUUUGUAUGUGUAUGUGUGUAUGUACACACACAGACACACAUCCACAUACACUCAUCCACAUGUAUGUGCAUGUGUAUAUUAAAACUAAAGGAAAUAAGCAUUCCCUGUGAAAGGUAAGAUGGGGUAUUUUUGUUUAUUUUGGAUCACCUCUAGAAGAGCCUGCUUUCCCUAUUCCUGCACAGGGUACAUGCCUAGCUUUGGUCUUCCAGCUACACUUCUGUAUUCCAGUAACUGACUAAUGGAUUCAUAAAGCCAGGUCAGAAUAAGGCACCUGGUAAAACAGAACUGCUUACUGAUAGGAGAGAAAAACUCAGGGAUCUGGAAGGUUGUCAUAGAUUUUAUAGAGUAGCUUUACAGACUCUCCACAUGGCUCCAAGCCAACACUUUAAAUCAUUUGCCAGAUGAAUCUGAGUAGAUAGAGCAUGAGCUCACACUGAAUUUUAGUAGGAACCCGGCAAGCAUCUUAAAUUAGAGAUCCAAAUAGGAACAUUCAAAUAUGGGAAAACCUCAGCAUACAGUGGAAGGGUGUCUUUGCCCUGGGAGAGGAAAAGGAGGCCAUGGGGAGAGUAAAGCGAAAUGCGGCAUGAAUAAGUCUUUUCCCACCCUGGGGCUGGCAGCCUUGCCAGUCUGCAUCGGGCCUUCGGAGGGCCAAGCAGCAUUACCAGCAAGGAGCAGAUAAUUAGACUUCAUAUAGACUCUUAAACUGGCUUACUCUACACUAGCCAUUCUUUUGGAUGAAGAUACAGAGUCUCCAUAGGUUUGAACAAGGGUCUUAAUUUACAGCCGUAUCUUUAGCCAUAUUUAUUGCAGCAUCAAUAAAAUUCCUUAGUCACAUGUUUCAAUUAACUUGGAUUAAAUUCAAGGUGUAAAGGUAGAAAUAGCUCGUAUUUGUAUUUUGCAAAGUAAUUGGUUAGGUUUUGAAUCAGAUUCCACUGACUUCUGUUCUAGAGGAUGAAAUUCCCAAACAUUGUGGAUAAAAUAAAUACUGAGGGAAAAUCAUUUUUAAAACACUCCAGAACUAACAUAGCCCCCUUCAAGGGAAUGUAAUGUGGUCCCCUCCAAAUUUGGUCACCCUGGAAGACCUGUGCUUCACUGUGCUGACAUUUGCCCAAAACAUUUUUAGGAUUCCUCUAUGGAAUCUGUGUCUCGUUUUUGAAACUCCACAAUUGCAUCAAAUAUUUGUAUCCUGAGGGAUAGAUGUUUUGGGAAACAUAAAAGUGGUUGGAUACCAAAUGUCAUGCUGGAUUAAUCCAUUUUGGUUCACAAACAACAUGCAACAGUAAUAACAGUUUUCUUGUGUGGCUCAUACCAACUGUCUCUGAGGGCAGUUCUUGGAGAGCCCUAAGUGUUCUGAGCAGUGACAAUCCUCAGGGCCCCAGGCAUGGAAUACUGGAGUUAGUAGGAGACGGGACUUAGGUUCUUGGUGCUGGUUUUCUGCCGAUUCUGUGGCCUUGGUGUUGUCCCCUAGGUCUUGAGUAUGUAAGUGCUAGCCUGUGUGCAUUGUAUUUUAGUUAAACUCCAUACUCCUUAGAGAACUAAAUAUAGUUUGUUGCCUCACAUGUCUGCGUUAGUUUAUACCAGGGAUCUGUUUAUGGAGUUGCCACUGAGCUAAGAAGAAAAUGUUGCCAAGAAAGAGAGAAAUCAUUUCUGGAUCUACUAUUCAGCUUCUACUAAAUUUUCAAUAAAGGGUUGAUUCCUGUCCCAAGUGAGAUCUGAGGCCUGAAGGCCACAUAGCCUAAUGGGUAAUGAUUCCUAGGCAAGGCUCCCAAAUGUAUCAUGCUUGAAACAUAACAGGUGUUGCCUUUCUCUCUUGCAGGCAUCCAGGCUGGAGAAGCAGAACAGCACACCUGAAAGUGACUACGACAACACCCCCAAUGACACGGACCCAGACGACACAGGGUCAGGCAGAAAGGGAAGGCAGAGGAGUUUGGUGUGGCAAG